rnacentral:rRNA from 1 species
CCUACGGGAGGCAGCAGUGAGGAAUAUUGGUCAAUGGGCGGGAGCCUGAACCAGCCAAGCCGUGUGAGGGAAGAAGGUACAGCGUAUCGUAAACCUCUUUUGUCAGGGAACAAAGGCGGGGACUAGUCCCCGGAUGAGGGUACCUGAAGAAAAAGCAUCGGCUAACUCCGUGCCAGCAGCCGCGGUAAUACGGAGGAUGCGAGCGUUAUCCGGAUUUAUUGGGUUUAAAGGGUGCGCAGGCGGCCUGUUAAGUCAGCGGUAAAAGCCCGGGGCUCAACCCCGGCGAGCCGUUGAAACUGGCGGGCGGGAGUUGGAGAGAAGUACGCGGAAUGCGCGGUGUAGAGGUGAAAGGCUUAGAGAUCGCGCAGAACCCGGAUGGCGAAGGCAGCGGACCGGCUCCACACUGACGCUGAGGCACGAAAGCGUGGGUAUCGAACAGGAUUAGAGACCCCUGUAGUC